rnacentral:antisense_RNA from 1 species
CUUCACCGACCCGAGCCACAGCGGACGGUCGCGGUCCUUGCCGUACGUCGCGAGCAAGGCGUGCGCUUC